UUCCUGAUCAACGCUAAUCGGAUCAGGGUAAGUCGGGUCCUAAGGCUCAGCCGAAGGGCGAUGCCGAUGGCAGAAACGGUUAAUAUUCCGUUACUACCUCCAGGAGUGAUGUGGAGACGCAGUAGUGACAAUGCCGCCAUCUGACGGAAUAGAUGGUUGAAGGGUGUAGAUGUUGAUCUUGGCAGGCAAAUCCACCAUGAGAAUCGAACCUGAUAGUAUGCCGCGUCCCUCGGGACAAGGCAAUAGUGCAUGUAAUCAUGCUGCCAAGAAAAUCCGCUAAACAAAAUCCUGUAGGUACCCGUACCGUAAACGGACACACGUAGUCGGGAUGAAUAUUCUAAGGCGCUUGAGUGAUUCACGGUUAAGGAACUAGGCAAACUGACCCUGUAACUUCGGGAUAAAGGGUCCCUACCCGGUGACGGGAGGGCGCAGAGAAUAGGUCCAGGCAACUGUUUAACAAAAACACAGGGCUGUGCUAAAUCGAAAGAUCCUGUAUACAGCCUGACACCUGCCCGGUGCUGGAAGGUUAAGAGGAGACGUCAUCGUUGAGAGAAGCGUUGAAUUGAAGCCCCAGUAAACGGCGGCCGUAACUAUAACGGUCCUAAGGUAGCGAAAUUCCUUGUCGGGUAAGUUCCGACCUGCACGAAUGGUGUAAUGAUCUGGACGCUGUCUCAACCGUGAGCUCAGUGAAAUUGUAGUAUCGGUGAAGAUGCCGAUUACCCGCGAUGGGACGAAAAGACCCCGUGAACCUUUACUAUAGCUUAUCAUUGAAUCUGGGCACGUGAUGUGUAGGAUAGGUCGGAGGCUUUGAAGGGGGUACGCCAGUAUCCUUGGAGCCGCUGUUGAAAUACGACCCUUCAUUUGUUUGGAUUCUAACCCGUGUAUAUGGGGACACUGAUUGGUGGGUAGUUUGACUGGGGUGGUCGCCUCCAAAAGCGUAACGGAGGCUUCUAAAGGUGCCCUCACGGCGAUUGGUAACCGCCGUUAGAGUGUAAUGGCAUAAGGGCGCUUGACUGGGAGACUGACAAGUCGAUCAGGUAGGAAACUAGAGCAUAGUGAUCCGGUGUUUCCGUAUGGAAGGGACAUCGCUCAAAGGAUAAAAGGUACUCCGGGGAUAACAGGCUGAUCCCUCCCAAGAGCUCAUAUCGACGGAGUGGUUUGGCACCUCGAUGUCGGCUCGUCACAUCCUGGGGCUGGAGAAGGUCCCAA
rnacentral:rRNA from 1 species